CCUCUCUUAGGAUGGCUCCUGGAGAGUUUCCAGUCCUCUCCCAGUCUCGACUAUGGGAGGGAAAGUCAAGCAGAGGCGUAUCCAUUCCAUUCCUAGCUUGGGCAGUAGCUAGCAUGUGGAAUGUAAUCUGCUACAAGU